rnacentral:rRNA from 1 species
UACGAAGGGGGCUAGCGUUGCUCGGAAUCACUGGGCGUAAAGGGUGCGUAGGCGGGUCUUUAAGUCCGGGGUGAAAUCCUGGAGCUCAACUCCAGAACUGCCUUCGAUACUGGAGAGCUUGAGUCCGGGAGAGGUGAGUGGAACUGCGAGUGUAGAGGUGAAAUUCGUAGAUAUUCGGAAGAACACCAGUGGCGAAGGCGGCUCACUGGACCGGUAUUGACGCUGAGGUGCGAAAGCGUGGGGAGCAAACAGG